rnacentral:rRNA from 1 species
GACGAACGCUGGCGGCGUGCUUAACACAUGCAAGUCGAACGGAAAGGCCCUGCUUUUGUGGGGUGCUCGAGUGGCGAACGGGUGAGUAACACGUGAGUAACCUGCCCUUGACUUUGGGAUAACUUCAGGAAACUGGGGCUAAUACCGGAUAGGAGCUCCUGCUGCAUGGUGGGGGUUGGAAAGUUUCGGCGGUUGGGGAUGGACUCGCGACUUAUCAGCUUGUUGGUGGGGUAGUGGCUUACCAAGGCUUUGACGGGUAGCCGGCCUGAGAGGGUGACCGGCCACAUUGGGACUGAGAUACGGCCCAGACUCCUACGGGAGGCAGCAGUGGGGAAUAUUGCACAAUGGGCGGAAGCCUGAUGCAGCAACGCCGCGUGCGGGAUGACGGCCUUCGGGUUGUAAACCGCUUUCGCCUGUGACGAAGCGUGAGUGACGGUAAUGGGUAAAGAGGCACCGGCUAACUACGUG